AGCCCCAGCGCUGGCUGCGGCGGAACCCACGGCGUACCUUCCCGCCUCCAACAAACUAUCCGGUUGCUGAGGUUGAUUUAGCAACACCCCAGGGCAUCUGGGUUGGCAGGAGCACCACAGUGACAGCCUGGCCCAGGCUCGGGUACGGGAGGCAGCCCAGUGGCCCGCAGUAGAGGGCCAGGCUGGGGACCAGGGAGCUGGGGCUGAGGAGAAUUUGUACAGCCUAGGGAGGCGCAGCACAGCAGUAUCAGCCUCUGGCAUUUGUACCACCUUUAGUCCUGCCACUUUCUCUCACUGUGGCUUCGCAACAGACUUGGGAACCAAGAAAGGCAUAGGUGAGGAAGCUGAAGCCCAGUCUGGGCUCGCGGAAGAAACUGGUGGAUCCAACUUCUGCAUAGCGCAAAUAUCUGCUUCCUGCCUCCACCCACCCAUUCCCACUUCCCCUGAUUGGGGAACUCUAGAGCCCCACAUCAGAGUUCAACAUGUGCCUCAGGAGCUUCAGCACCUCUUUUGUGGGAGGAGAGUCCGCUGGUGACUGGGGCUGCAGGCCAUGACAUCAGCCUGCCCAGCUUCACCUCAGGCUGCUUCCAACAGUGCCAAGUGAGGUCCCUUGGCAGGAUCCCUGCAAGGCAGCGGCUGGCCACCAGGAGGCAGCAGCCUACUCUACAAGGCACUUUCUUCAUUCCAACCCCUUGUAACAGGUCUGAGGAAACCUGUUCGCCCAGCCAUGUGCUGCAACCAUCCUCCACUCCCAAUCUUAUCUCCCAAUAGCACAGAUUCCCCUAUCAUGAGUCCAGACUUGGCCUUCAUCUCCUCUUGCCUUCCUCUGUCCAAGGAAUCACUACAGAGAUUCUUUCUCUAUCCUUCUUUGUAAAUUUCCAGAAAAUUGUUUCCCCAGGGCCCCUCCCCUUGAAGAAAUUAAACAGGAAGCUGGAGUAGACUGUCCCUUCUUUCCCCCACCUCUCACACUCCAAAGCUCUGUUUAACUCUGUGGGCCAGUGGCUAGAUUCCCCAACAUGGAUGACAGAGAAUACACAUGCAAUAAGAAUGUUUUCGCUGCCACCAGCCACUCACAGACACACUGUCUCCCACCCUCUGAAGGCAUUGUGCCCAAUCCCCAGCCACUCACUGUCUAGUCAGGGCUGCCCCUGCAGGACUUGCCUUGGCUGAGGACCAGCUAGCUUCAAGCCACUCUGAAGUCAGCUUGCUGUUUCCCCUGGAGCCUGGUAAUACAUCCUUCUUCAGGUGAACAAAAGCAGAAAAAGCCCAGUGAACCCCACUGCAACAAAGAGCCUGCCAUCAGUCUUCCUUCUGUUCCUGCCUAUCUCAUCACCCAAGGGCUAUCCCAGAGCCCACUAUGUUCUAAGAUCUAUUCCUUUCACCACCACCCAGCCAAACAACUAUCCAGACAAUUCCUUGAUCAAACAACACUGCCUUCUUGAGUUUAAAUUUUAUUUUACAAAAAGAGAAAUAAAGAAAACUGAUAGGCAGUUAUACUGACUUACAAUUGUUCUGUUUGCUUUUUUUUAAAAAAGUGACAUGAAACACAAGUAAAAAUAAAUACGUCAUAGAAACAGCCAGUUGCCCAGUCUCUGGGGCAGGAGCGCCUGCCCUGCUGAGAGGAGGGAAGCCCAUGAUCACACCAGCAGCUGGAUCACCCAGCCACAGAUGCUCCUCGAAGCCAGGCACAGGUCCCAGGCCUCAGGGGCGUCCUGAGGAAAGAAGACGGAAAACCAAAGCCAGGUGCCAGGACCCUGGGGCCACCUCAUUAUCCCCCACUCCUCCUGGCAGCAGUCUGGUCUUAGUGGUUAUCCAUAGCGACCCCCCUUAACCCACCUGGACCCUCUUCCCCUGACCUCUCUGAAGAUGGUACAAGGGAAAAACCUGUCUUGGGCAGGCUGGGGGGGAUUCUUCUGGUGAGUCCCCAGCCCACCCUGAGUAACACAACCAGAUAACAGUCAUUUUACACCCAGGUGCACAUGAGCACAGCACACAAACACACACACACACACUCACACACACACACACACACAGCUGGGCUGAGCUCUCUUCCAGGGAGGGUCCUGGGUCCAGUCACAGUAUGAGGUCCUCUCUCUUCUGAAUAUCAUCCCAGUAGUGGCAGCAGAGAGUACCCAAACCUCCCCAAGCCCUCUGCAUUGCAGACACUGCAGCCUGCUUGGCUACCCCUCCCCAACACACUAGAUUACUAUGUCAAAUAGACCUGCAAAAGGGAAAGGUGCACACUCAGGUCCCUGAAGAGCAAAGAAGUUGGACACUGCCUGCUCAAGAAGUUCAUUGUUAUAAGACUCAGGUAUUCAUAAAAGGCCUAGGGCUAAGCUAGUAGCACAGAAAAGCCGUUAAGGGGAUCACAGCAGAAUACACAGGGCAGAAGAGAAGAGUUGGCAGCAGGGGAACGGAGUCUCAAGGUGACCAAUAGAGAGCACAACAUUCUCAAAUAGUCCUUGAGGUGCUGAUUCCUGGGAGUAGUCAGCAGAGGGCCAGAACAUCUCCCAGGGGUCCUUUUGGGGAAGGAUGACUUCACUUAGUUUUAGGGGUGAAGAGCCACUGAGCUGGGUGCACAGAAGGCCAUGGCUCAGAAGGGAAAGACUGAUCUGAGAAAUCAAAAGGAAGUGGGGGCCAGGAGCAGUGGCUCACGCCUGUAAUCCCAUCACUGGGAGGCCGAGGAGGGUGGAUCACUUGAGGUCAGGAGUUCAAGGCCAGCCUGGCCAACGUGGUGAAACCCCGUCUCUACUAAAAAAUAUACAAAUUAGCUGGGCAUGGUGGUGUGCACCUGUAAUCCCAGCUACUUGGGAGGCUGAGGCAGGAGGAUCGCUUGAAACCGGGAGUGGAGGUUGCACGGAGCCAAGAUCACACCAUUGCACUCAAGCCUGGGUGACAGAGCAAGACUCUGUCUCAAAAAAAAAAAAAAGGAAGUGGGAAGCAGAAGGUAAUAUCCAGAACACUAGUAACAAGGAAUGUAAAGCCCCCAGAAGACCUUCCCCAUGGGAUGAGGACUCAAUUUCAGAGCAAUGCCAGGUUUGAAUAGACUCACACAGAGGGCCCUUCUCUGCUGACAACUUUGGGAGUGAUGGUCCUACCCAGGCCACUUAAGUUUGGCUAAGUGUUUCAACCAAUCUGCAAAACUGUACCCCAGCACUUUGCUUCCUGCUCCUGAAUUGAGAAAUUUCAUAUUUAGUUGUGAAUCACAAGCAUAUAGAGACUCCACACACUAAUUCCUAGGGAAGAGAGCUCCAAGGAUCACAAGCAUAUAGAGACUCCACACACUAAUUCCUAGGGAAGAGAGCUCCAAGGACCAGACAGAAUUAUCCUUAAAUCAGGAGAUGAUGAGAUAGAUGCCUAAAAAGCAUAACUCAAAGGGGUGUGGACUUCAUAGAUAUCCAAUCUAAAGAAAAUGAUAUGACCCAACAUGGUUCACUUCCUUUCUUAAAUAGCUACUUUGUCCCUGUUCAAUUUUUAUCUACAAAUAUAUUAAGAAAAGGAAAUCAAGCAUCACUAUAAAUGGUAAACCUCAAUCAUUAAGUAGUACUGUGUUCCCCAGGCUGAGAACUUGGCUAAACCAGAUGAAUGGGGCUUGAGAGGCCCUUGAAAACAUUCCAUGGAAGACAAUGGUAAGGGAAAACGCCUAGGCCUGAUUUUCUGCCCUCCCUCUUAUCACCAGCCACCCUGCCCCCCUCAGGCCUGGAUAAUGGGUGGAAGACACCACCAAGUGUUUAUGAUCAAAGAAACUAUAAAACAUGGUUCUUAGGCUCUGAGAUACUUCCUGCUUCCCUCACAAACAUGCUUAUGUUUGGUGUGCAUGCACAUUUGCCUAUCAGCACAUAUAAAGAGACAGUGGAAAAGUCAGAAGUGUUUUCAGGUUAUUUUCUUUAAAAAAAAAAAAAAAAAAAAAAAAAAAAAAAAAAAGCAAAAACCAUGGACCUGGUAGCACUCCAAUUUCCCAUGAUCCCACCCCCAACCCCUCUACACAAUAGAAACUGCACAUAUAAAAGAAAGCCUUCUCUAGUCAGGUCAGCCUCCCAGAAUGAUGGCCUCUGCUGAGUAGAAGCAAGACCCAGUCCCUGGAACACUGGAUAGACAGUAGGCAUGUGCUGCCUCUCAGAAUACCCAUUUACUUUCUGUCAACUUCAAAAGCCAAGCCCAUCCCUCCAGGGAAUGGUUUCAGUUCCCGGCUGGGAAGGUUUCCGGAUUCUUGGAGGCUAGUACAGUGAUUUCCUAGAAGUGAACACAGAAAUACUACCCCCUUCUCCCGACAACACACACACACAGACAUACACAUGCACACAUGCAUCUCUGGGAUCCCAGUGCUCCAGGGCCUGAGAGGCAUCAGUGUAACCCAGGUUCUGAGUGUGUCCCAUAAAUUGGAGAUUCAGUCUAGCUCACUCCUACUGCACCAGCCUCAACCUGAGAGCUCACUCCAACUGAGUCCCUUCACCAUCCAUUCUUGGGAUGCAUCUGAAAGAGAAAGCACUGGUUGGAACUGCUAUUUUUAAAUUAUUAAAAUAAUUUGCAUAGCUAAAUUGUAGAUCUAAGGCUUCCAUGAGUAGAAGAGUUAAGUGUCUGGCAGGGUGCUUAUGAAAACACAAAGCUUCUUAAGUUCCACUUUUGGUGUUAUUGGACAGCAGACAAACACACAUAUACACAUGCACCCCAUCCAUCAUCUCCUUGUCUCUUCUCUGAGGACAAUACCCCAGAGUCUGCUAAGGCCCUCCAAAGAUGGAAAUGGGCUGGUCAGAAGAGCUGUAGGAGCUACUACUGGGAUGACCUGACUAAGCUGCCUUCUGGGCUGGGAAGAGGCAGGUACACCACCUGCCCAGUAAGGAGGGAGCCAUGGGUAAGUGGUAAAGCUCUAAAGCCAAAGUUUGUUCAUCAUAAAGAACUGUCUGGCAAAGUGUUGGGGUGGGGGAUACAGAGGGGGCGGGGACACCAGUAGGAAGACAGCCAGUGUUUAUGCUUAAGGACUAGACGACCCUCCCCUGGCAAUGGCAAUAAGGGGAGACCCAGAAUGACUGGUGUGUUCUUUUAAGAUAAAACCCAGACUUAGGGCUCCUACAGAGAAAGGGCUCCUCCAUGUUCCUUCAAAGAUGGAGGCAGCAGACACCAGGCCUACAUGGACCACCUGAAGAUAUUUUCGAACAUGAAAUCAACAGUCCCUCAACCCAGCAACCGCCUAUCCACAGCUUCACUAUUCAGCAUAGAGAGCCAACAUCUAACAUCAUCCCAGGAGGACACAGCUCCAAAUCUGGGGUCUCUUACUUCCCAAUUGCAAACUCCAUGAUCACAACUUUCGAUUUCUGUGGAAUGAGUCCCACCCUCCACUAACUAUCCAGUCUCAGGAUUCCCUGAUCUUCCUGAAAAGCCAUCUCUCAAAAAUAUAGUUGUUUAAUCCAAACCUUGGUCAAACCUAACUCUUCCCCUGGUCAAUUUACCAUCCAUCCAGGAUUGUUUUUCACCAGUGGCUAUAGGGUCUGGGAUAUCUUAAAACUUCCCUUUCUAUCACCUACCCUCCUUACCCCUAACCUCCCCCCACCCCCAAAUAAACAAGACACAUGAAAAGUCCAAGUAAUAAAUAAUUGCCCAUAAGAAAUAAAUUAACAUGGAGCUCUCUAAAGGGGAAGGAAAGGAACAGAAAAGACUACCAGGAUAGGCAGCUGGGGGCUCAGUUCUACCCUGGUGAAAAAUGUAUUUUCCAGCCACAACUCUGCGACCUUUCAUUCACGUACUGCAGUGCUUCUCCCUCCCAGCCUCUGCACACAGACAACCUUCCAAGCUGGAAAGGGAGAGCUGCUCAGAGAUAGCCACCGGGGUUAAGAGACAUAGAUUGGUAAUGCCCAUUUUCUCUCAUGAAUUUCCCCAAAUUCUCACACAAAUGUGGCUCUGAAUACCAGGGACUUGAGUUAGCUGGGCCUUCUCUUCACCCAUCCCGAAGGAAACUUGUUAUUUCCAUGGCUCUUCUGGGCUCACCCUGAUGUUCACACUAGGUGCCAUGAACCACCAAACUGACUUCCAUUUAAAGAAAGAUAAAUUCAUUUUUCAGUUUCCCUCUUAGUUCUUCCCUCCCUCCCCUCCCACCUUCACCCCUGCUCUGUUCCAUACAUACACAUACAAAAUAAACAUACACACACACACUCACAAACACACAUACCUGGUCAGCUUCCUUCCCACCCCCUAAAAAGACCCCACUUCACAUGGGAUCACAGUCUGCUCCCCCUACCCACCCUCCUUCUCUCACUCAUUCUCCCUUCCUUCACUCCCCUCCCCAGGCCAAGCUAAGUCACCUAGUAAGGCAGCUCUCUUGGGAAAGAAUGUUCCCAAAGACAGAAAUGGGAUGUGCGCUUCUACACUCAGAUGGGCGAGCAAGCAAGCAGACAGCAUAAGCAAGGCAGGAAGGAAAAGAGGCUGCACUGCCCCUCCAUCCCUGUUUUGGGUCCCUGAUUUCCCGCUAUUGCUGCUGUGUUGGACUUUUUUUUUUUUUUUUUUUUUUUUGCCUCUUUUGUUAAACAGCAACAGAGCUCUGCCACUUUGGCCAACCACCCUCCUUUGUCCUCUUCCUUUUCCCUCCUGCCAAGUGUCCUAUUCUCAAAAGGUCUAAAUCACUGCCUUUCAGCUUGGUGGGCAACCUGCUGGGGGCCCCAAGUGAGGUGGGGAGGGGCUCCCUAGCUAUUUCCCAGUGACCUCUAUCACAUCAUCGUCUUUAUCCUCAUCAUCAUUGGAGCUGAACCCAACCUCGGCAACCUCAUGAGAGUCAAAUGGAGGCACCUGGGACCGUAGGAGGCCACCAGCUGGGUAGCCUGCAUGUGGGGACAUGUAGCCUGGAUAGAUAGACAUGCCCCGCGAAAGGUUGCUGGGCAAGACAGGGGAAGGAAAAGGCGCAAACAUCCUCGGCUCGGACAGGAGUGGCUGUGAGAAUGGGAGUGAAUAGCUGGGUAGUAUCCCUGGCACAGAAGGGUUGAGCAUGAAGGAGGGGUUGCUGGCAGUGACUGAGGUAGCCGUGGAAGAGGAACUGACGGGGCCUGCUGGCACCAGAGGGUCAGUAGUCACUGGAAACACCAGGCGGGCAUCUGCCAGCAAAUUGGACAGCUGGUAGUAGGAGGGGGUACUGCCCAUAAACAGGGAGUUCUCCCCAGCCUGGGAGGUGAAGGGGGUGGUGAGGUUAUGGUUUAAGGAGACGGGUGGCAUGGCAAACCCGCCAGAGACUGGAUACCCGUGUUCAUACGGCUGCACGGGGGCUGGCAGAUGACCCUUCCUGGACCGCCGGCGGGAUGACUCCUGGGCAGCAGGUGGUGUGGCCAACUUUCGCUUGUGGCCCCUUAAGUCCAGCACUGGGUGCCUGUCACCACAGGGCUGGCCAGUCACCAAGAGGGAACUAUUGAGGCAAUGACCCCCUAGUCGAGGCUCAGUUCCGAGAGCUGUCCCGGGAACAGCACUGCUGUCCAUAAGUUGGGCCGGGGGGCCAGGCAGGGCGGCAUUGGUGCUUGGGGAGCUCUGACGGGAUUCCCGGGCAGCAGCCACAUCUGCAUACUGCUGAAGCUCACUGAUGAUCUCUGGGCUGUCAGGAGAGACGGGCCUGGCCAGCCCCUCAGGGUCGGGGGCUUUGGGUGAUGAGGCACUGUGUCUGCCGUUGCUUGUGGACUCGCAAGAAGGUCCCUGGGAACCUGGGGA
rnacentral:lncRNA from 1 species